rnacentral:other from 1 species
GAAGUUCUGAAGUGUACGCGUUAUCUUAUUAGAAUGUUGACCGAACAAAUAAUUAUAUCUAGGCGUUGACUUAAUAGGCUAAUUAAUUUCAAGCCAUUUCACUUGGUAGUUAGAGGUUAGUACAGUCGAUGCCACCUGCUUUAUUGCGGGCUCAACUCACGAAGAUGAUUAACGGCACUACGCGGAUUUUCC